UGGAAAUUUUAUCUUCAUUUGAACAAAAAAUUGAGAAACAUUUAAAUGCCUUUUAAACAUAAUUUGUAAAAUAUAAUUAAUAGAAAUGUAACAACCUGUAAAAAUGUAACAACCUUUAGACUAUACACAAUUCUUCUGCAUUUACAGAUGUGAUUAAGGUGGAAAAUGAGAGACUGCUUUAUGUUCUCUACUGUAACUACUAGGUGUUUAGAUUAUAUAAACUUCUUCUGUAUUUACAGAUGUGAUUAAGGUGGAGAUUAAGAGUGAACAGACUUGGAAAGCAGCUACAAACAGCUGUGAUGUUUCUCUUCUGUGUCGAGCGUCUGAAGAUCAGACAGUGUCCUACAGAUGGAGGGGUUUUAAGGAGGAGGAUGGAGCUCAGCUGAAUUUCACUCUCACACCAGAAGAUGGAGACGUUACUCUGAACUGCACUGCAAUUGGCAGAUUUGUGCAAGGCUCUAACACGACCACAGUGAAAUGUACUCCAGAAGAGACUCCUACAGGAGCUCCAUUCUCAGUGCUCCAUCUGCUCAGUUUUUUAACGGCAGCGUCUCCAUAUCUGCUGUCCACCAUCAUACUGGGGGUGAAAAGCUACAGAGCUCGAGGUGAGAUCUCUUAGUCUUCCUUUAUAUCCUUAAUAAUUAACACACUUUAAGCCUCAUUGAGAUGCAGAUUUCUAUAUUACACUGAAACUGAACAUAACACUUAAAUAUAUGUUCAUUAUUGUGUGUUUUACAGCUGAAGCUGAUGAUGUGAACAUGGUGUGUGAAGUGAGAGAAGCUGAAGAAUGAUGAUAAAUGACUUCAGCCACCAUGAAAGGUGUAAAUGAAGGAAAGAAAUUUCAUUUUAAUUCAAUUAGCAAAAAAAAAUAUGUAAAAAAAAAAUAAUAAACAGCUUGUUUUGUGCUUUUUUUGUUUCUGU
rnacentral:lncRNA from 1 species